rfam:Microbacterium sp. Root53 contig_20, whole genome shotgun sequence.
CGGGAUGUGGCGCAGCUUGGUAGCGCACCUGACUGGGGGUCAGGGGGUCGCAGGUUCAAAUCCUGUCAUCCCGA